rnacentral:rRNA from 1 species
GAUGAACGCUGGCGGCGUGCCUAAUACAUGCAAGUCGAGCGAACGGACGAGAAGCUUGCUUCUCUGAUGUUAGCGGCGGACGGGUGAGUAACACGUGGAUAACCUACCUAUAAGACUGGGAUAACUUCGGGAAACCGGAGCUAAUACCGGAUAAUAUUUUGAACCGCAUGGUUCAAAAGUAAAAGACGGUCUUGCUGUCACUUAUAGAUGGAUCCGCGCUGCAUUAGCUAGUUGGUAAGGUAACGGCUUACCAAGGCAACGAUGCAUAGCCGACCUGAGAGGGUGAUCGGCCACACUGGAACUGAGACACGGUCCAGACUCCUACGGGAGGCAGCAGUAGGGAAUCUUCCGCGAUGGGCGAAAGCCUGACGGAGCAACGCCGCGUGAGUGAUGAAGGUCUUCGGAUCGUAAAACUCUGUUAUUAGGGAAGAACAUAUGUGUAAGUAACUGUGCACAUCUUGACGGUACCUAAUCAGAAAGCCACGGCUAACUACGUG